CCAGGAGAGAGACAGUUGCAGACAAGAGGAGGACCAGCAGUGCACGACCUGGAAAACAAGCAAGCAACACUAGGUUCAGCUCUCCAGCCCUAGCAGGCAAGCUAUCGGCAUGCACAAGCCGGAAAAAAACUCUCCUAGGACACCCAAAGUUUUCCAACUACAAAACCAUGAUGCCGAGUUUCCCCAAAAGGCAGGAGGUUAUGUGUAUUCACACAACCUACCAGGCCUGCACACAUCCACUGACCGCAGAGGCACUCACUUGGGCUGCAGAACUGUGAAAACAGAACUUUGUUAACAAAGGUAGCUCAGCUGGAAAGCCAAAGAAAGUCUACUAGGAGAGGAGUGACUGCUGAAAGAAAGAGAGCAGCAUGACUGAGUUUGUACUCCUACCUUUCUCUUUUGUGGCAAAAUACGAAUCAGCCUCUCAAGCUUAUCUCCUUCCCCCAGCACAGCAGUCCAUUAAGCAAAGCAUUUCAGUAUCCAACUUCCCUUGUAAUUAACAUUCUUUUUCUGCUCAGUGGAACAGAAACCUUCCUGCUGGCUACUGCAUAAAAGACACUGGGACGGAAGAUUUUUUUUCUGAGUCUGAGGCUAGAUUCAUGUAUCCCAAAGUCUAGUUCGUGAAACAAUGAUUUUACAGAACCGGAUAUGCCUAUAACUGCUUUCAAAACUCUUUAACACAGUGCAAGCAUUCUCUCUUUGUGCUGUUCAUGCCAACUGUGGUUGCUGGGCAGGUUGCACUGCAGUGAAGUACGUGUGUUUGCAGCAAACCAUAUGCAAUAUUCAGGAAUCCCAGCUGGUGCAGGGACCAGCACAGGGAAGAUGUGCUGCAACUGGCUUGGGGCUGGGCUGGCACUGCCUUCCCAGAUCCAUGCAACAGGACUGCCGAUGGAGGGAACACACCGAUGACCAUAAACCUGCACUGCGAGCUGGGAUGUGACUGCAGCUUUUUGCUGCCGUACAGGGUCGAGAUGGGGGGAGGUCUGCAUUGGUGACCGUGGUGCCUGCGGUGCCGACACACCCCUGUGACACAGGCCAAAGUAAGCAGGUUGGGUGAAGAAUGAGGAUCACGUGAUAUUUUUUUCAAAGAUCUUUUUCAGUCAUUCCACUUGUUAACUUAACGACGCAUUUGAGAGUAAUAGUUAAAGAAUCAUUAUUCUUUGUAGGGGAUUAUAUAUCAUGUCUCUGCUCUGGAGGCCAGUGGUGCCAACUCGGUUUUUUUUUCUCCAAAUCACAGUUUUGAGAUGCCUGAGAUGGGCAAUCGUGGAUCAUGCAUGUCCUUUCAGCUUUAGUCUGUUGGAUAUCUGGCCAGCAACAUGGGCAGCAGGGGAUUUUGUUUCUUCUCAAAGUCAUAGUGAGUAUUAAGCAUUUCAAAUCAUCUACCUAAUUUAUAGAUUAAAUAAAUGCUUCCUAUUAAUAUGUUCUAAUUUAAAUGGAAAGACACUAUUUAAAAAUACCUCGUUUAAAACCUUGUAUGUGAUACAGACACAUGGGUUCACAGAGAUCACACGCUUGGGGAAGAAUGGCUUCAGACAUGAACACCAGCUAACAGAAACCAAUGGUGUUCAUGGAAGGAGCAUUACAGUAUGAUUUGUAAUGCAUGUUAAAGUAAUUCAUGUUAAAGUAUUUUAAACAGCUCUGAAAUCACGACCAGCUCUUAUGACAGAGGGAGAAAUGACUGCAAUUUUCCCCUUUCCCCAAGACCCUGCAUAUGAGGCCAGUUCACAGUGGGCAGCAGGCACUACAGCCCCAUGUCUGGGCUCAUGUUCCAUGUUUUGGGAACACAAGAGGAUGCUGGGAAUGCAGUGUGAUCUUACCUGUGAGCUCUGCCCCCCACAGCUUCUCCCUGGAGCUCAAGCCUUUACAUUUUGUGUGUUCUGGGUUAUGAACUGGAGGAGGUGUGAUCCACCUGUGGUUCCCCACCACACCAGGUGGAGAGCCACAGGGGAGCUGUAGCCUUCAGCAGCUGCUGGGCAAACCUGCUCUUGGCUGUGUGGGCUGCAGUUUGCCUGAGCAAUUCCUUCCUUCUCAAAUGAUUUCAGCGUGAGAAGGAAGAAAUGAUAUUUUUCUCUAUAGUCACUCUGCAUUUGUUUAUCUGCCACCCCACCAUCUUCUGGAGGCUUCCUGUUCUCUGGCAGGGCAAUAAACAUUAUUAGCACACACAGCAGGAGGUGAGGGCUAGGAAGUAUAGGCAGAGCUUUACGGAAUGUUUGCAAAAGGUGGGCAAAAAGAUGAUAUCAGUGUGUACAGAAAUGCAGCUGUUGUGUCGAUGCUGUGCGUGUCUGGGGGCUAUGGUCCUCUGAAAGGAAGGGCCCGAAGGACGUGAUGUCAUCCAGAGGGACCUGGCCAGGCUGGAGAAGGGGGCCUGUGAGAACCUCAUGAGGUUCAACAAAGCCAAGUGUAAGGUCCUGCACCUGGGUCGGGGCAAUCCCCGUUUUCAGUACAUGAUGGGGGAUGACGUGCUUGAGAGCAGCCCUGCAGAAAAGGACUUGGGGUGCUGGUCAAUGAGAAGCUCGACGUGGGCUGGCCAUGUGCGCUCGCAGCCCAGAAGGCCAACCGUAUCCUGGGCUGCAUCAAAAGAAGUGCAGCCAGAAGGUUGAGGGAAGUGAUUCUGCCCUUCUAAUCCUCUCUUGUGAGACCUCAUCUGGAAUACUGUGUCUGGUUCUGGAAUCCUCAACGUAAGAAGGACAUGGAACUGCUGGAACGGGUGCAGAGGAAGGCUACAAAGAUGAUCGGAGGGCUGGAGCACCUUCCCUAAGAGGACAGGCUGAGAGAGUUGGGCUUGUUCAGCUUGGAGAGAGAAGGCUCAGAGGAGAUCUUAUAGCGACCUUCCAGUACAUGAAGGGGCUACAGAAAAGCUGGAAAGGGACUAUUCAUAAAGGCUUGUGGGUAUAGGACCAGGGGGAAUGGGUAUAAACUGGAGAGGGGGAGAUUUAUACUGGGCAUUAGGAAGAAUUUCUUUGCCAUGAGGGUGGUGAGACACCGGCACAGGUUGCCCAGGGAGGUUGUGGAUGCCCCAUCCCUGGAGGUGUUCAAGGCCAGGUUGGAUGGGCCUUGGGCAGCCUGAUCCAGUGGGAUGUCCCUGCCCACAGCAGGUAGGUUGGAACUAGAUGAUCUUUACGGUCCCUUCCAACCCUAAGUAUUCUACAAUACUAUGAAAGAAAAAGGCAAAACCUGCUAUGAUGUAAAGCAGGGAUAGUUUGGGGGAAAAGUCGUCUUUUGAGGUUUUUCAAAUACAUCUUUCUUAUACAGUUUGUAGUUAAUGGGUAUUUUGGGCCUCUUGAUGCCCCUAGGAUCUGCAUGAGAAGAUCUGUAGGGUUUGGAUCCACCAGGACUGUCCCAUGCUUCAAAUCUGCUAGCAUGUUUCUAGUCUUGCUCCCUCCUGCAAUGCUUUCCCCCUCCUCUUGAGACUGUGUGUCUUGGCAGUGCCAUUUCACCAUCUGAUCCUUAUCUCGCUCUUGGCUGCUGGACUUGCGGAGCAUGAGGCGUGUUCCUGCUUUGCAGCCCAACAACACAUCUCCAGGGCUGAGCCACAGGAAUGCGCUUCCUGAAGAGCUCAGUGUUUGAAACAGCUGCCUGAAGAGCCUUAAAAAACACAAAUUAAAAUACAAAUAUAAGAGGAGGAAGAAGCCUGUACCAGAAAAAGGAAGACACAGUGUUCAGCAACCCUCAUCCCAUUCUCUAAUUACAAUUGACCCUUAGGGAAAGAUUUAGAGGACCAGCUCAAUUCAGUUAUUGAUGAGACUUAUAAUCCAAGAGCAGGUUCUGGUGUUAUAGCUGGCAGGGGCACACCCAGCUCUCCAGCCAUCUGCAUUUAUUGCCUGCUCACUUACAGCCCAGAGGGCAUUUUUAUUACUAAACCAGACUGUAUGAGUUUUCUUUCAUGUUAUCCUAAGCCUGGGGAUGUUCACUAGCAAUGCCAGUCAGUACUGGUGGUUGCCUGAUAGGUACCAUUUACUGCACAUUGUAAGGAUGCCUCCAGUAUGGCAGCCUGCGGUGACCCAGGGUGCUCCCGCGUCCCCGCACCCCUCUGAUGGGUGGCUGCUCCCCACAGCCCUCCUCCCACUGCCUGCCUUGCCCGUAUCAUCCGUAUCAACUUGGAGAAUUGGCCAAGACCCAUAAUUCUGAGCUGUGGUGGGAGUUAAAGCUGUGAAUUCACACACAGGAGGGUUUAUCUCUUUACCUACGCUUCAGAGGUUGAGGACACAACCCCAGAGCUAACAAGUGCCUUAGCUGGGCACAAGAAGGCCCCUGAGCCUUGAUGUAGCCCAAAUUCAGCCCUUUUCUAGUCUGUCCAGUGCUGAGGAUGGGAGCCUCCAUCCUUAAAUCAGCUGGAGUGUGAUGGGAGAGCUGCCUGCAGCACUGCAGCCUGCCUGAUGCUGAGGGAUCGGCAGGACAGCAGGCAGGAACCCAUGGGAUCUGUCUUGCUUUGCUGCACUGCUAUUUUAUUCUUUCAAUUACAUUGGUUGUAAAAGGAGAGUUUAUAAAUGCUUGUCAGCAGGAGAACAAAGUUACGUAAUUAAACAAUUUACCAGAGAGUCUGAGGCUUCAAUGCAAUUCUCUGGAGUGAUUUGAUAUUCCAAUAAAAAUACUGGGUGAUACCAUAAAUAUUGUAAAUGGCUCUAGAUGGUUUCCAAGGGCUAUGUCAACUGUUUAUUGCAUUAAAAAGAAAAAAAAAAUAAAAAAAUAAGUGAAAUCAAAGGGAAGACAAAAUUUAAAUAAAUAAAAUAAUGGGAAAAAUAAAGCAAAAAUAUUUUCAUUUGUAUUUUGAAAGCUCCGGAGGGUGGUUUUGGCCAGCAUGAGAGAAAACUGUCGGAUUUACCAGAAUAACAAACCAAGGGCAUCUGUAUGCACUUGCUCAUAGGUUAAAUAGGUAUGUCUGUGGGGUCUGCACGUGGAUGCUUAGAUAAAAUCUGCCCACAACACAGGGAAACCUCUUUGUUUAUAUGAUUGUUUGUGGCACUUGCAAAUUCCACCCAGGAAUGCCUUUCUUUCCCUAGCCAAACUGUCAGGCUCCUAGAGCCCUGUCGCAGCAAGGGCAGCUGAAGGAGGAUACCACAAGUGGGCAGAAUUGUGGGAUGGAUUACUUGUAUUAUUGAAAAUUUGGGAAGGUUGUUUAGAAGUUGUUAUUGAAGCAAGAUAAAUAUUUGCCAGGCACGAUCCCAUCAUGCAGUGACAAGUAAGCUGUAUGGAAUGUGUUAAUAAAAUAUAAAAGUUUGGAAAAGGAAACAAAUACUGUG